AUUCACUUAGUAUAAUAUCAAGUACAUUUGACUUCCAAUCAAAAAGUUUGAACAUCAAAGUGAAUA
rnacentral:tRNA from 1 species